rnacentral:rRNA from 1 species
GUGGUAUGAGGCACUCUGAUCAGCCAUGCCGCGUGCAGUGAAGACAGCCCUCUGGAGUCGGUAAACUGCUUUUAUUCGGGAAUAAACCUAUCUACGUGUACAUAGCUGAAUGUACCGAAGGAAUAAGGAUCGGCUAACUCCGUGCCGGCACCCGCGGCAAUACGGAGGAUCCAAGCGUUAUCCGGAUUUAUUGGGUUGAAAGGGUGCGUAGGCGGCUUAUUAAGUCAGGGGUGAAAGACGGUGGCUCAACCCUCGCAGUGCCUUUGAUACUGAUGAGCUUGAAUAUACUAGAGGUAAGCGGAAUGUGACUAGUAGCGGUGAAAUGCAUAGAUAUGUCACAGAACACCGAUUGCGAAGGCAGCUUACUAUGGUAUUAUUGACGCUGAGGCACGAAAGCGUGGGGAUCAAACAGGAUUAGAUACCCUGGUAGGCCACGCCCUAAACGAUGAAUACUCGCUGUUAGCGAUAUACAGUUAGCGGCUAAGCGAAAGCGUUAAGUAUUCCACCUGGGGAGUACGCUCGCAAGAGUGAAACUCAAAGAAAUUUGACGGAAUUGACGG